rnacentral:tRNA from 3 species
GGGGAAGUACCCAAGCGGCUCAAGGGGCGCCCCUGCUAAGGGUGUAGAUCGCGUAAGCGGUGCGAGGGUUCGAAUCCCUCCUUCUCCGCCA